rnacentral:misc_RNA from 1 species
GAUGAAGAACGCAGCGAAAUGCGAUAAGUAAUGUGAAUUGCAGAAUUCAGUGAAUCAUCGAAUCUUUGAACGCAUCUUGCGCUCCUUGGUAUUCUGAGGAGCAUGCCUGUUUGAGUGUCAUUAAAUUCUCAACUACACUGACUUUGAAUUGGUGUGGCUUGGAUUUGGGGGGAAAAUUGUUGUGGGCUUUUUGUAUAGUCUGCUCCCCUGAAAUUGAUUAGCGGUACCUUUGUGGAACUGUCUACAGGUGUGAUAAUUAUCUACAUCUUAGACAUCUGCUGGAAUGCUGCUUCCUAAACCUUACUUGUAUUGACAAUCUUGACCUCAAAUCAGGUAGGACUACCCGCUGAACUUAAGCAUAUCAAUAAGCGGAGGA